AGAGUUUGAUCAUGGCUCAGAUUGAACGCUGGCGGCAUGCCUUACACAUGCAAGUCGAACGGCAGCACGGACUUCGGUCGGGUGGCGAGUGGCGAACGGGUGAGUAAUACAUCGGAACGUGUCCUGGAGUGGGGGAUAGCCCGGCGAAAGCCGGAUUAAUACCGCAUACGCUCUGAGGAGGAAAGCGGGGGAUCUUUCGGGACCUCGCGCUCAAGGGGCGGCCGAUGGCAGAUUAGCUAGUUGGUGGGGUAAAGGCCUACCAAGGCGACGAUCUGUAGCUGGUCUGAGAGGACGACCAGCCACACUGGGACUGAGACACGGCCCAGACUCCUACGGGAGGCAGCAGUGGGGAAUUUUGGACAAUGGGCGCAAGCCUGAUCCAGCAAUGCCGCGUGUGUGAAGAAGGCCUUCGGGUUGUAAAGCACUUUUGUCCGGAAAGAAAUCCUCUGCCCUAAUACGGCGGGGGGAUGACGGUACCGGAAGAAUAAGCACCGGCUAACUACGUGCCAGCAGCCGCGGUAAUACGUAGGGUGCAAGCGUUAAUCGGAAUUACUGGGCGUAAAGCGUGCGCAGGCGGUUCGUUAAGACAGAUGUGAAAUCCCCGGGCUUAACCUGGGAACUGCAUUUGUGACUGGCGGACUCGAGUAUGGCAGAGGGGGGUAGAAUUCCACGUGUAGCAGUGAAAUGCGUAGAGAUGUGGAGGAAUACCGAUGGCGAAGGCAGCCCCCUGGGCCAAUACUGACGCUCAUGCACGAAAGCGUGGGGAGCAAACAGGAUUAGAUACCCUAGUAGUCC
rnacentral:rRNA from 1 species